AUGGCCUUCGAACAGGGUUACAAUAGUCAGUGGCUUGGUGAUUUUCAUUUCCAAAGAACAAAAACAGGGACGGUCGCGGCGGUGCAAUCCGCGGGGACGGACGGUGGCGCCGCCCGCACCUUCACAUGGAGACAACGAGGGGUGGCCAGGCCUGCGGCCGUCGCCGCGCAGCGUCGCUGUAGGACGCCCGUGCUGCUGCGCCCAGCCGGGAGAGCGAUCAAUUCUGAAACUGUAAAAACUGAAAUACUACCCUGCAAGCGUAUCUCCAAAAGAAGAAUAAACAAGUGCACAUGCACUGUAACAGAGUGCAAAGAGCUACACCUACCUACUUAG
rnacentral:rRNA from 1 species